GGGCCCGCACAAGCGGUGGAGCAUGUGGUUUAAUUCGAUGAUACGCGAGGAACCUUACCAGGGCUUAAAUGGAAAAUGACAGGGGCAGAGACGCCCCCUUCUUCGGACAUUUUUCAAGGUGCUGCAUGGUUGUCGUCAGCUCGUGCCGUGAGGUGUCAGGUUAAGUCCUAUAACGAGCGCAACCCCUACCGUUAGUUGCCAGCGUGUAAUGACGGGGACUCUAACGGAACUGCCGGUGCAAACCGUGAGGAAGGUGGGGACGACGUCAAAUCAUCACGGCCCUUACGUCCUGGGCCACACACGUGCUACAAUGGUAGGUACAGAGGGAAGCCACCCCGCGAGGGGGAGCGGAUCUACAAAGCUGGUCGUAGUCCGGAUCGCAGUCUGCAACUCGACUGCGUG
rnacentral:rRNA from 1 species